rnacentral:rRNA from 1 species
GAGAUGUGGGUAGUCCGUACGAGCGCACCUUGUCCUUAUUUGCCAGCACGUAAUGGUGGGAACUCUAAGGAGACUGCCGGUGACAAACCGGAGGAAGGUGGGGACGACGUCAAGUCAUCAUGGCCCUUAUGACCAGGGCUACACACGUGCUACAAUGGAGCGUACAGAGGGUUGCUAAGCCGCGAGGUGGAGCCAAUCCCAGAAAACGUUUCGUAGUCCGGAUCGAAGUCUGCAACUCGACUUCGUGAAGUCGGAAUCGCUAGUAAUCGCGAAUCAGCAUGUCGCGGUGAAUACGUUCCCGGGCCUUGUACACACCGCCCGUCACACCAUGGGAGUGGGUUGCAAAAGAAGUGGCUAGUCUAACCUUCGGGAGGACGGUCACCACUUUGUGAUUCAUGACUGGGGUGAAGUCGUAACAAGGUAGCCCUAGGGGAACCUGGGGCUGGAUCACCUCCUU